UGUAGGAGCGCAGCCUCUCUGCGGCGGCUGUGGCCCCACGGAGCAGUGCCUCUCACAGCUCCCAACACAACCAUGAGCAAUCUCCUGAACGGAGCGUUCUAACGUCAGGUGAGGAAAAGCAACCGAAGCAGAUGGGCUUGUAAACAGCAGAGACUCGGCUCUCCCACAGAGCUCCUUGCGGAGUGGAAGGGAGCAGAGUGGUUAGGAAACUGCUGCAGAUCCUGGGGAGUGCAAGGGUCACGGAGGAGAGAGACCUAGGAAAGAUGGUUCCGCAUUGGGAUUUCAGAGAGCAGGGUACAGGUGGAGAAUGUAAUGAAGGAAAGCAGCUGAAGGAAGAAAAGCUGUUCCUGUGGGUAGGUGAGCAGAACACCUACAAGGCUGUGUUUCGGCUUCCUGCGCUCCCAGAAAGUGCUGGUGUGGCCCCAGCUGCCCAUUGGAGCUGCCCAAGUUAGGAUCCGUUCUGCAGCAGCUCCUCCUGGCAGCAGUACCAAGGCAGCAAGCAGGGCAUUUCGUCCUGCAGUGUAUGUAACCACCAUGGGCGCCCAAGAGGUGGAUGUUUCGGAGAAGGGGGCGUCAUGGGCAUUGUGGUGGAGGGCUGUCAGAGAGGGAGGAGCCAGGCGUAGAGAAAUUGCUGCUUGCCUUUUCCUCCCCAGGAUGCUGAACCCAGCACCCCAAACUGUCCACGGCUGCUCGGGAUUGGUGACAUCGAGAAUGCAACAUGUUGGGCUGUCAGAACGGAACGGGAGCAGCACAGCUUGGCUUCGGGAGCCAAAAAUAGCUCUGUGGAUCUGUCAUGCUUUCACCUUUGAGUCUGCUCUCUGGAAUCAGUAUUUGUCUGCUUCUGCCAAACCCCAAAAGCUGCAUUUCAUUAAAACCCCUGAUUAUUCAGGAAGAGUGAAGUUUGAUUCACAAGGAUAACGCUCUUUGAAGGAGUUCUGGGUCAUCACUCUAAGCUGUUUGAGUUCUACCUCUUCCUAGUAAGAAGGGCUUCGGCUAUUGCAGCUCUGCUCCUGCAGCAUCCCUCCACUUCAUAGAUUAUGUUGUGGAAAUAAACACAUUUGGCAAGACUGGUGAGCAGGGAAUGAGGAGAGCCUGAUGCUGGUGCCCUGAUGUGGAAGACAGCUGUGGUUUGCUCAUGUGCUGCUGCGGUGUCACCCACCCUCCCCAGGCCCAGGAAGUGCUCGGAAGGGGGAUUUUGUCCAUGCUGAUGGCUGCGUUGGCAUUCCCGUGUUCCUGAUGUCAUCGCAUGCAUUACCCUUUCCCUAAAGUGCUUCCUGAAUGACUUGGCAGUGUGAGAAGUAGUGCCUUGCUACUAGUAGUGCUGAGAUGGCAAUCCCAGAAGGAGCAGAUGAGUCCUACCUGAAACCUGGUAAGUGGGCAAGAGAUCAAAUGGAGAAAGCUGGACCACCACUUGAAAGGUGGUUUAGACAACACUAACAGGUCAUGAAGCAAGCAUCAGCUUGAAAGAGGGUGUUAGAGGCAGACUGCAGCCAUUUGGGGCUAGAGAAACACCAGAUUUGUGAGAAAGCUUUUCUUCCCCUGUCAAAUAUAUCUUAUUUGUUACCUGCCUCAGAGGGCUCGCGUCCGGAAAAUGUCAUUUCUUUUCUCCAUAGAAUGUAAAUGUUCAUUCCAGAUGAUACAGACAUAAAGUUCAAUUUCUCCUCAGCCCUCGCUGUAGGUUUCUGAACAUGGAAUGAGUCUUUUUGAGAAAUGGAUUUCUUAUUGAAUACAUACACUUCUGUGCUUCAGAAAUGAAGGGUACUUCUGAUAGCCUUAACCUCUUUCUCUACCAAUUCCCCAUUUUUAGCAAUGGAAAUUUAUUCCAAGCGUCUGAAUUCUUUCCAGUUUUUGGUAGUGAUCCUACCUGUUCUAUAGGAGGUGGCUUAGCCCCUUCACCUCUUCCUGGGCCAGGCUACUCAGUGGGCAGUGAUGUUCAAAAAGCACCAGUCUAUCGCUGUGGGUGAGCAUCCUUUAGUCUCCUGCUCUGUUUAGUAUCUCUGAACAUCUUUGUGUCUCACUUAGACACAAAGUCACAUUCUGACCUCUUUGAAACUCAUUUCAUAUUUCCUAGAAUCAAUACAUCUCAAAGGCAGCAGCAGAAAUGCCAGGCAGUCAAUAAGCCCAGUCAGGUUACGCUAGAAGUAAAAGCGAUGUGUUGUAAGGGCAACGUUUUCUUAAGGAACUGCUAUUCAGGCAUAUUUGUUGUUUCAAUUGGUCUGAUUUAGUGGCUCAGGCAGGGGCUGCACCGGAGCAUUCUGACCCUAAUUUGAUUUCUAAAGCUGCCAUUCAGGUACUGAGGAAAUAAAAAUAUGUGGUAAAACCACCUUGUGACAGCAGACAUAUAGCUCCUGAUGUGCUUAACGCACAGCGUGCCCGCGGGGAAGAUACAAGGGUUCAUGCCAUGAGUGCCCGCAUUUUGUAUCCCAUUGGAGCUGCAUGUUUUGCUCUCAUGGCUUUGAUCGCCAGGCCCCUGGGAGGAGCAUGGAAAAAUGGGAGAACGGUUGUGUUCUUCCAGAACUGUUGCCCUAAAGGGAUGUUUAAACAAAAAAGCCCAGAUUAAUGCCAGUGCGAAGCGCCAGAUUGACAGCUUCAGGAGCGAAGCGUUUCACCUGUUUGCAGGCUGCCCACGUUUUAUCUGCUGGAGCUGUCAGCCCAGUAUCUUGCUCAGCACAAAAUGGAUUCUUUUCUUUCUAAACUGUCCUCGUGUCUCCAAAUUGCUCAGUCCCGCAUCUGAGACAGAUUCAGGCAGCACUAAUGGGGGUAAGAAGCUGCAGAGCUGAAAACUAGGAAGAAAUGCUGGCAGAUUUGCCCUGUUCUUGGAGAUGCUUAAAAUUUGCAGGAGGCUCGAAAUGAUUUAAAACUUAAAUGUAUGCAGAAUGAUUCAAGGCAUAGCUCUGCUUUCAGACUAGAAGCUGCUGGGAACAGAGCUUGUUUCUCUCCUUAGCAAAUCAGGGCUUUAUUGCUGUUGCUGCUCUCUGGAAAGAAACCUUCAUGCUCUCCUCCGAUAGCUGCCCAAACAAGGUCUUGUCCAGCCUUUUGCAGCAUGUCCAGGAGCUGCAGCAUAGAAUCAUGGAACGGUUUGGGCUGGAAGGGACCUUAAAGACCAUCUCAUUCCAACCUUCCACUAGAGCAGGUUGCUCCAAGCCCCCUCCAGCCUGGCCUUGAACACUGCCAGGGAUGGGGCAGCCACAGCUGCAGGACCCCCUGCCCUCCUUGGUGGGAAGGUGCUUUGAGAGACACCGUGGUCAUGGUGCACAGAUCGUGUGGCAGGAGGUCUAUGGCAAAAGGUGAGUCCUCCAGGACUCCAGGCAUCCUUCAGUGGCACCUGAUGAGCCUGAGGAGUAGAGACCUUGUGUAAACGAAGGCUUGGAUCUGUUGCUUUAUGGCAUUGGUAAUGAGCUGUUGAAUUUAAUGGAUCGAGUCAGAUUGGGUCUCUGCACUUUCAUGCAUGGAUAAAUUGACAUCUAAAGCUGCACAGUAAGGUCUGCAAUGUACCUGAUGCAUGAACCUGAAGACCUGCUAUGAAGUUUCAUUCUACAACUCUUUGAGCUUGUACCUCUUUCAAGUGACAUGGUAAAAAUGAAGUCCAGUAUUUUUUUCCAUGAAAACCCCACUAUAUUUAUAGGAAAUUCCUUCGCAGCAUCUGAAGGGGUGAUGAGGUCUUAAGGAGCAUUCCAGCAGGAGGAAGCAGACCCAAAACUAAAGGACUGUGAGAUGUGUAUGAACAAGAUAAUUGCUCAUUCCAGCAAACAGGACUCUGUCCCUGUCCCAGCCUGUUGUCCAGUGUCCAUAUUCUUUCCCAUUGCUGCAGAUCAUUGUCCCUGUCUUCACUACAUCAUAGCAAUGAUGGGUGCCUCUGGUUUUGAACUGUUAAAUUAUUGGACUAAUGUUAUUUUGUUCAUGUUUGCUAUUCUGUCAGAAGGUUCUAAAACAACUCUGUGCCUCCAGUUUCUGCCAUUUAAAGCAGAGGUGACUUAGGGCUCCCAGAAGCAUUAAAUAUGUAUAUUCAGUUUUGAACACCUAAAGCAGUAAAUGGCUUGAGAUACAAACCAGCCAUGACUGACCAGUGACAGCACUUGUGGGAGUUGUAGGUGCUGACCCAACAGUGGGAUCUGUCUAGUCUCAAUUUGAUGCAUGAGGCUUGCUCCAUUUGUAACAUGGCUUUGUCUUCCC